ensembl:snRNA U6 U6 spliceosomal RNA
GUGUUUGCCUCGGCAGCACAUAUAUUAAAAUUGGAACGAUACACAGAAGAUUAGCACAGCCUCUCUGCAAGGGAGACACGCAAAUUCAUGAAGCAGUCCCCAUUUUU